rnacentral:rRNA from 1 species
GACGAACGCUGGCGGCGUGCCUAAUACAUGCAAGUCGAGCGGAAGUUGAAGAGCUUGCUCUUCAACUUUAGCGGCGGACGGGUGAGUAACACGUGGGCAACCUGCCCUGCAGAUCGGGAUAACUCCGGGAAACCGGUGCUAAUACCGAAUAGUUUUCGCCACCUCCUGGUGGCGUACGGAAAGACGGUUUCGGCUGUCACUGCAGGAUGGGCCCGCGGCGCAUUAGCUAGUUGGUGGGGUAACGGCCCACCAAGGCAACGAUGCGUAGCCGACCUGAGAGGGUGAUCGGCCACACGGGGACUGAGACACGGCCCAGACUCCUACGGGAGGCAGCAGUAGGGAAUCUUCCGCAAUGGACGAAAGUCUGACGGGGCAACGCCGCGUGAGUGACGAAGGUUUUCGGAUCGUAAAACUCUGUUGUGAGGGAAGAACAAGUACCACUUAACUACUGGUACCUUGACGGUACCUCACCAGAAAGCCACGGCUAACUACGUGCCAGCCGCCGCAGUAACAC